GUCCGUAGCUCAAUUGGUUAGAGCAUCCCCCUCCUAAGGGGAAGGUUGGAGGUUCGACCCCUCUCCGGGGCGCCA
rnacentral:tRNA from 2 species